rnacentral:miRNA from 1 species
GACCACACCGGAAGGGAUUCCUUCUGGUUGAUGAGGUGUAACAACCUCAUCAACCGGAAGGAAUCCCUUCUGGUUGAUGAGGUG